rnacentral:rRNA from 1 species
AUUGAACGCUGGCGGCAUGCCUUACACAUGCAAGUCGAGCGGCAGCACGGGUGCUUGCACCUGGUGACGAGUGGCGCACGGGGGAGUAAUACAUGGGGACAUCUCCUGUAGUGGGGUAGAGCCCGGCGAAAGCCGGAUUGAUACCGCAUACGAUCUACGUAUAAAAGCGGGGGACCUUGGGGCCUCGCGCUAUGGUGUUAGCCGAUGGCGGAUUAGCUAGUUGGUGGGGUAAAGGCCUACCAAGGCGACGAUCAGUAGCUGGUCUGAGAGGGCGACCAGCCACACUGGGACUGAGACACGGCCCAGACUCCUACGGGAGGCAGCAGUGGGGAAUUUUGGGCAAUGGGCGAAAGCCUGAUCCAGCAAUGCCGCGUGUGUGAAGAAGGCCUUCGGGUCGUAAAGCACUUUUGUCCGGAAAGAAAUCCUUGGUACUAAUCCGGUCGCGUGAUGACGGUACCGGAAGAAUAAGCCCCGGCUAACUACGUG